rnacentral:rRNA from 1 species
CCUACGGGUGGCAGCAGUAGGGAAUAUUGCUCAAUGGGGGAAACCCUGAAGCAGCAACGCCGCGUGGAGGAUGAAGGUUCUCGGAUUGUAAACUCCUUUUGUUAGAGAAGAUAAUGACGGUAUCUAACGAAUAAGCACCGUCUAACUCCGUUCCAGCAGCCGCGGUAAUACGGAGGGUGCAAGCGUUAUACGGAAUCACUGGGCGUAAAGCGCGCGUAGACGGGUUAGCAAGUCAGAUGUGAAAUCCUAUGGCUUAACCAUAGAACUGCAAUUGAAACUGUUAGUCUAGAGUAUAGGAGAGGUAGGUGGAAUUCUUGGUGUAGGGGUAAAAUCCGUAGAGAUCAAGAGGAAUACUCAUUGCGAAGGCAGCCUGCUAGAACGUAACUGACACUGAUGCGCGAAAGCGUGGGGAGCAAACAGGAUUAGAUACCCCUGUAGUC